UCCCUGGUGGCUCAGUUGGUGAAGAAUCUGCCUGCAAUGCAGGAGACCUGGGUUCGAUCCCUGGGUUGGGAA
rnacentral:tRNA from 1 species